UACAGCGGGUGCGAGCGUUAAUCGGAAUUACUGGGCGUAAAGCGCGCGUAGGCGGUUUUGCAAGUCGGGUGUGAAAUCCCCAAGCUCAACUUGGGAACUGCAUUCGAGACUGCAUUGCUAGAGUAUGGGAGAGAGAAGUGGAAUUUCCGGUGUAGCGGUGAAAUGCGUAGAUAUCGGAAGGAACAUCAGUGGCGAAAGCGACUUCUUGGACCAAUACUGACGCUCAAGUGCGAAAGCGUGGGGAGCAAACAGG
rnacentral:rRNA from 1 species